ACCUGGGUGGCUCAGUUGGUUGAGCAUCAGACUCUGGCUCAGGUUAUGAUCUCACGGUUCAUGGGUUCAAGCCCCAUAUCAGGCU
rnacentral:tRNA from 1 species